GCGGACGGGUGAGUAACGCGUGGGAAUCUACCCAGUAGUGGGGGACAACUACCGGAAACGGUAGCUAAUACCGCAUACGCCCUAUGGGGGAAAGGCUUCGGCCGCUAUUGGAUGAGCCCGCGUCAGAUUAGCUAGUUGGUAGGGUAAAGGCCUACCAAGGCAACGAUCUGUAGCUGGUCUGAGAGGACGAACAGCCACACUGGGACUGAGACACGGCCCAGACUCCUACGGGAGGCAGCAGUGGGGAAUAUUGGACAAUGGGCGAAAGCCUGAUCCAGCAAUGCCGCGUGUGUGAAGAAGGCCUGCGGGUUGUAAAGCACUUUCAGUUGGGAAGAUGAUGACGUUACCAACAGAAGAAGCACCGGCUAAAUCCGUGCCAGCAGCCGCGGUAAUACGGAUGGUGCGAGCGUUAAUCGGAAUUACUGGGCGUAAAGCGCGC
rnacentral:rRNA from 1 species